UGCGCAGCAGGUGUCCCCGUGUGCCGGGCGGUGAGGCAGAGCCACCUCUGGGUGGGAGUUAGUUCCUCCGGGAGCAGCAGCCCCCUUCUGGGCGGUCCUGUGGAAUGACCACCGCGCGGUUAGUCGGGGUGACUUGAUUUCAGGUCCUCCUCUGUUUCCGGUGAGCUGUGUCCCCACACGUCCUCUGCGCUUCGGUUUGCAAGUCUCUGAAAUGGAAGGGUUGUCCUGGGGGACCUGAGUGUGUGUGUCCUCCCCAGAACACUUCCAUGAGGGAGACUGAAACCAGGGGCUGCCCGGCCCCCCCCCCAAGUGGAAAUGCCUGCCGAUGAGGAAGCAGCUGUUCUGUGACUUACAGUUUCCUUUUAGAUACGCGAAAACUCUGGGAAAAUCCUAACGUGUGUGUGGUUGGAAAGAGGUGGAAAGCUUAGAAACAUUCUUUCUUGGAGUUUUUCAAACAUUCCCAAUUUCAGGGCUUAAUUUCUUUCAACUGGAUCCCUGCCCCCCGCCCCUCACUGCUGCCACUUGGCCGCCCUGUAGGGCCUCACAUCUCUGCUUACACGCAGGACGCCUGGGGAAGCAGGUGACCCGGUUGUGGCCCCGCCCAUUCCCGUCCAUCACGAACCAAGAUGACCCAGUCUCCCGCUUCCCUCGUCCCAUCGGCUCACCUCACUUGUUCAACUUAAUGACUGACUCCAAGGAAAUGCUCCCUUUAUCUGAGGGCUGGUGUGGCGUCUGGGGCAGGGAGCUGGGGAGUGGAGGGCCUGUGGUUCCUGGAAGAGACUUCGCUCAGCGCUGAUCACUCAGUCAGUCCAGCCCCUAAGGAGUUUAAAGAAGAGGGUCCAUAUUGGCAGCUUCAGGACUUUGCUGAAACAGCCACCUCUUCAGAGCUAGUCCUUCGGCAGAAUUUGAGUCCAAGGUCUUUGCUGGAGCCAGAGAGUAGGUGUCAGUGUGGCCCCGGGGACACUGCUGUCACCUGGAAUGGAGUGGAUGGGGGAAGCUGAUUUAUACUUGAGUUUCUGAUGGACACUCCCUGGUGACCACCCCAACCUGCCAUCCACACCACGAGGAGGGAGGGUGGGUGACGAGGGCUCUUUGCUGGAUGCUUUUGUACAGAAUCUGCAUGACAACCCUCCCAGGUAGGUGUCACUGCAGCUGGGGCGGGGGGCAGUGAGCGGCCCCCCACGAGCAGGGCUGAAGAUGUAGCAUCGCCAGUCGAGCUUGCAAAACCCAGAGUAUGCGUUCUGCCCUCCUACCUCCACGACUCACCUUCCUGUCUGGAGAGCCAGUUCCAAUGUAGGGUUCUCUGACUCCUUGGGAUUUGCAUCAGGGGUAGUGGAGGCAGAGGGCUGGCCUCCCUUCCUUGCCCGACCCACCCUGGGAAGCAUCUCCCGUGCACACCCAGCCCACAUGGCUGUCCCUGGGCCACAUCCCUGUCAUGGUCACUAGGUUCAGGGCUGUUCGGGCAGGGAGUCCUGAGGUCCUAGGGUGCAGGCAGUGCUGUGCACCCCGAGUGGGCAUGUCCCAGGCCCUGCAGGGACGGGUGCAGCCCAGGGCCAGGUCUGGGUGGUGACAGAGUUCUAGGUCCUCGAGUCCUGUCUGUUCCCGCAGUCCCUUGCCCCCUCCUCUGUCCUCCAUGGUCACCACUUGGAGUAAGAUUUCUGGGGACUGCUCUGGUCUGGACACGGUAUUGAAAAGCACCUCCAACCCAGGGGACAGGUGCUCACUCCUCCCUACAUGUGUCUGAAGUGCACGGCAACAGAGGAGUUAGGUGCUUUUAUGUGAUGUGACUCCUGGUAAACGGAGGAUGGUUCUUGGGGAGGGCGCGGCCACGCACCUGUGCCCUGUGCGGGGAGGGGCAGGUGCUGGGACUGGUUGUGGCUCUCCCGUCGCCAAGGUGAGUAGGCUCUGGCCACCACCUGGGAUGAGCAGCUCCAAGCUGACUCUUGGGUUAGGAUUUUCUGAUGCCUAGCACUUUCAGCAAAGCAAUUUGGAAUCUGCCUGGCAGAUGCGUUAUUCUGUUUAAAGACAGACCAGCUCAGCACUUCCGAGGGCAGCAGGCACCUCUGGUUUUACUUUAAGAUGCAAGAGCCUGCUUUCUCAGCAGCAAAGGUGGCCCCAAGUGAGGGCCUCUGAGGGGCUGCCUUCCUAGAUGUGCAAGUCCAGAGGGGCAAGGCCUUCUAUUCCUGUGUAAAUCUAAUUACAGAAGAUCUGGGAAACUCAGAGAGUUCAGAAUAAAGCCACAAAGAUUGUUCAGGAAAAAAAAAUGAGAGUAGAAGAGAACCAUGAAGGAGACACACUGGCCCUGGUCGGACCCGGAGGGGAGCUGUCACUGUCACCGCUCACAGGCAUUUGGAGAACAACUGGGGGAAUUAGAUGACGUCUAACUGGUGUUAUUUUAAGUGUGGUGAUGAUGUGUAGGGGUCCAGGCAGCCUGCUUUCACGCGCUUCAUAGAAGAGGUGGGUGUGUGUGCUCAGAGAGGAAGAAAUGCAGCCACGUGGUCACAAAGCCGCAUCCAGACCAGGGUGUGGCUGUGUGUUUUGCUGUGAUACCAUUCUUUAAGCUUGCCUGUACGUUUGGAAACUUUGCAAAUGAAACAGUGAUGGUGGAUGAACUGAAAGAUUUAGCCCAGAGGGUAGGGGACACAGCCAGCCAGCAAUGGUCUCUGGGUUUUGUAGGUAAAAAUCUUCGGCCAAGAGUGUGGUGAUUGCCCUCUGACCCGGGACAGAGAAGGUCGGAGAGGCAGUGGCCAGGACGCCAUCUCCCAAGGGCUUCCAAAGGCUGGAGGUCUUCAAAACAGGGCAAGUUUGUCCACAGGAGCCAAGUGCAAACCCUGUUCCUUCCAGAAGUCCGGGCUUUGGGGACAUGAUGGUCACGGGGCAGCAGGGGACACAGUUCCUUGAGAUCUAACCCACCGGCUUGAGCUGUGUGUCUUUCGUGUGCCGGCCCCGUGCUGGCUGGGACACGGCCAGCUGCUUGGCUGUCUAACUAGGUUGAAUAAGUAACAGCAAAGAACUGAGGAGAUGGCCCCCUCCCUCGCAGCCCCAGCCCCCCCCUCCAUUUCUGAGUUGAGCUCAUUCGGACAGUGGUGAUGGUCAGGUGACAGGCAUGCCUCCCCUCACCCCACCUCGGCCACUUUUGUGCGGAGUUGGGAACAAAAAUACAGACCCUGUUUCCUGUCUCUUUCCUAGACAAGGGUCAGACAGGUGGGGGACGUUUGACCAUGAAGCAGUGCUGUGUUUGUGGAAUUGUAACUCCCUGGAGAGCCAGGCGGUGGUAGAGGGGGGGCUGCAGCCUGUUUCGUUGGACUGGAAAGUGAACUGAAACACUAAUGUGAUACUUAAGCCCACCUUCUGGAAGUUUGGGUUCAGAUAAAAUCAGUCUGCCCGUUGGGCAGUGGGUGAGUGGGACCAGAGGGCCUCUAAAUUCUCUCCCAGCUCUCACGUUCUGUGACUGGUCAACGUCCAUCAGAGGAAACCCAGCUCACCUGAAGUGCAGCCGGAUUGUGCCGUGUCACGUUCUUUGUUUGCUUGUUUUGGGUGGGGAGGGGGUAACUAGGUUUGUUUCUGUAUUUAAUGGGGUGCUGGGGACUGAACCCAGGGCCUCAUGCGUGCUAAGCACAUGCUCUACCACUGGGCCAUACGUCCCCCUCCCCGGCCCCUCAUCUUGAACACAAGUGGCAGGAGGUGCAGGACGAGGGCAGAGACAGCAGCCAGCUGGGACUGUGGAGGGGACACAAGCCGCGUGGGGUGAGGCGAGGUGGGGCUGCCCGGCGAGCUGGACUGGAGGGUCCCAUCAGGGCCACGGCUGAGGGAUGGGGGGGCGAGGCGGGCCUUCAGCAGGAUUUUUUUUUAAUUGAAGUGUAGUUGGUUUACAAUGUUGUGUUAAUUUCUGGUGUGCAGCAUAGUGGUUCAGUUAUAUACAUAUAUACCUUUUCAUAUUCUUUUUCAUUACUGGCUGUUGUUAUUUUAUAUUUUUAAAAGUAGUCUUUGUGUUAUUUUUCCAGUAAAAACUGAAGGGCGAGUUUCACGAGAUGAAAAGCUCUGGAGGUCUGUAUGCAACACUGCGAAUGAACCUAACAUCACUGAACUGGAUGGUUAAAAACGGCCACGAUGCUGCGUUCUAGAUUCUGGCUGGACGUCACAGCGGCGUGUCAGAGCUGAACUUCCGUCUGCCCCCUGACACCCCCGUCUGUCUCAACCGCAUCACCAGGCCCUUGUCCAGUGCGCUGCAUCGAGGACGCUUGCCUCCUGGGCUAGACUGUAAACUCCCCCGCUUGGAGACCCGACCACCUGCGUGUUGCCCACAGCCCUCAGCACGUGACUUCACACGCAAAUGCACUUACUCAUCCUGCUUUCCUGCUAACGACCCCCGUGAGCCGCUCCCAGACGUCCGCUACGUGGAUCACGCAUGCACUCCCGGAGGCGCGAGCGGGUCCACCACGGUUACCCACCGCCCUACCCACCGCCCUACCCGAGGCAGGCGCCCUCCGUGUCUUCCCAGGCGAGGAAGCCAGGAAGAGCUGGGGGGCCACGAGCCUUUUCUCGCCGGUGAGGCCCCCACACCCCCACCAUGCAUCCACGCUGGACAGGAUCCUCUGCCCAGGGCCCUCGCCGAGGCCGCCAUCUCCACCCUCUCGUCUGGCUCCUGCUCAAGAGAACAGCUGGGGAGGUGGCACCUCGAGGCCCAAGACUAUUUUUACAUGGCCAUCUGUCCCCGACCAGGCCUGGCCGGCAGCGACAGACCCAAGGAAUCCCGCGGCAGGUGGGAGACGCCCGGACAGCUGAGGAUGCACGGCCCGGCCCCAAGAGCUGUUCUGGGGAGGCUGGAAAUGUGGUGUGAGGACAGGGAGGAGACGCGGGUGCCGUGACCGCGGCAGCUCGGGGCGAUGGCUGCCUGGCCGCCUCCCCAUCUCUGUGCAGCAGCGGCCAGGCCCACCUGCUCUGUCCGUGUCUGGGUGACGAGUCAGAUGCUCCAGCCAGCUGCGGGCCUCGCCGCCACAGGGGAGGGGGUGCAGCAAGUGCUGUGCUGAGGACACACACUCAGAGCCGGGAUCCCUGCCGCCCACCUGACUGAGAGCCCCCGGGGCAAAGUCCGGCUCCUUUGUAGAAACUAAGAUCAUCAUAGAGGGAACCGGCGUCCCCAGAGAGGAGGGCGGCAGGAAGGAGAGGGCAUGCAUCCAAAGUCGUCUUUGCACACGAUUUAUCCAUCACACUGCAGCUGGGGCAGGAGGCACAGGGCCCCACGUGGGAAGGACAGCAGUGAGCACGCAGGGCCCAGCCUCCUGGGGACAGCCACAGCCUCCCAGGUCUCGGGCGGGAAGGGAGGCGGCCCCGUCGUCCCCAGGAGGUGGCGUGCUCACCUCAUUCCUGUGUGGGAAGGUGCUGCCCCACAUUGGGGAGGGGCGGGGAGAGAGAGAGAGACAGAGACACAGAGAGAGAAGGAGAGACAGAGACAGAGAGACAGAGAGAGAGACAGAACUCUCUCCUUUGAGGAUCCUUAUCCAGCAAAGCGUUCAGAGAUGCCCUUGACACGGGCCUGGGACAGCCGGGCAGCAGACGUCUGGGACUGGAAUUCUGAAUUCCUGGGCCAGCCCGUUUCAGUCCCCAUUUCACACUGAAGGACAGGAGGCUGUUCCCAGCCGGGCGGUUUUAACAGUCUGAGUCUGUGUCUUUGGCCGGGAGGUAAUAGCUGUGAACGUAUUUCAACCCAAGGCCCCUAGUUUGCGCCAGGCCUGUCCCCUGAGUCCGCGGUGGACACGGGGUGUGGGGCCACCUCGUGUGCACCCCUGCUGGGGUAAGAAGUAUGGGGUGCCCACAGACGUGGGGGCACAGGCGCCGAGCUACAGGGACGGCCCCCUUUUUUCAGAACUGUGAUGCUAGAGAUCAGUAAAUAGCCCACCGAGGGCAACACAGAGACCCUGGGCCCUGGAAAGGGGCGCAGGCACCGAGCGGACCCUCUGGGGACCAGCUCCUGGCGAGCAGGGUCUGGUAGGCAGACGACACGCUGAGUCAGGGCGGCAGCUGGGUCCACGGGCUCCGGCACGUCGGUGAGAAUGCCUUUUUUGGAAGCCAGGCAGUCAGUUCCCAGGACUCCCGAGUCCCUGGGAAGUGACGCAGCCCACGGUCAGCGAGAGAAAGGUGCCGGGAAGCCGCCUCGCCGGCGGAGGGCAGCCGGGCUCCCCCUCUGCCCCUCCCUGGCCCGCCCGGGAGCAGCUCCUUGUAUGGGAAACGUUUACACAGGAGGCCCCUGUGGGGCUCUGUGAACCUCCUGCAGAGCAGAGAGGUGGGCGGGGGGAUUCUCCGAUGCCUGUGUUUUGCUGUGUUUGCAGGAGAGGCUGUGUUCUGGGGGCUGUGGGUGCAAACCCUCUGCUUUUGCCCUCCUGCCUGUGGCCUCGGCUCCCACCCCGCAGCUCCCCGUUGAAGGGCAGAGUGGGGGUCAGGCCAGAAGGGGCCCCGGGCUGUGGUCGAUCAUGGGCAGGACGAGCAGGGGCCCGGGGACUUCUGACUGCAGAGGCAGGAACCACGCAGGCGCUCUGGGCUUCUGGGACCACCUGAGGGGUCUUCCCGUGUCCUGCGCUGUUGGCCCGGAUGCAGCGGGAAGGGGCAGGCCUCCUGGGUAGUGUCUCUUUGUAGUGCCCCUAGUCUAGUGUCAGCUUCCCCAUUUCCUUGUGGGGAGCUGCCCCCACCCAGGCCGCGUGGUUGGUGCUUACCCUCCCUGCCCGUCUCGUGGCCACCGUUACUUUGUGUGGGCACCGUGGGGCAUCCGCGGCCCCGGGCCCUCCCGCUGGGGCUGGGCUGACAUCUGCUUCUUGGGGAGGAGGCCUCCCCGAAGACAGUGCCCCUCAGAGGGGAGCAGGACCAAGAGAUGUGUCCCAAUCCCACUGCGCCUGCCCACAGCCGCGUGCCCUCCUGGCAUCAUUCGCAGCCUGGGGUCCCGCCCCACGGUACGGGACUCCCGCCUGCCAGGCAUUCUGGAUCAGGUAACUCCUGCAACUGGUUUAUUGCUGAAGGUCAGCCGCUGUAAGGCCAUGCCCCGCCCCCACCUGCCCCUCCCUGCAUCCAGGUGCGGCCAAGGCCCUUUGCUUCCCGAGCAGCAGUGCCCGCAGCCCACACGUGCAGUGGUGUGAACACGGUGUCUUCUGAGUUCAUCACUGGAGAUGGACGGGUCGGGUCAAGGGCUGGCCAAGCCCCUGGCUGAGCUGCCCUAUCCGCUUGUGACCCCCUGCCUACAGCACGAGCCAGCCACCACCUGCUCUUCCGUGUCAGCCAGCACCUGGAGCAUGUAUGUGCCCGCGUAGACGAGAAACUGGCCAGUCACCUGGGCGGCGUGAGACAGGACCCGCAGCAGGCUCCUGCAAGAGAGGGGCGAGGGUCGUCGGGGGGUCCUCACCCCACCUCCAACACAUGCCCACGUCCCCGUACUUUCGAGUUCGGGAAGCUGGGCUCUCAGGACCUGCAGCCCUGGGGGCUCGCUGAGAUGCUGCGCUGAUUCCCGGGGUUGAGUGGGGCCUGGACUCUGUUGCCAGCUUCUCCCGCUGCCCCGGGCCCGGGACCACCCUCCGCUGGCCUCCUCCAGUCGAGGUUUGUCCCUGAGUCACUAGAACGCCCGGGGGUCUGUCUGCUCACUCUGGCAGCCUUGUCGAUAUGUGGGGUUCGGUGCCGAAAUCGGUCAAGUCCGGUCUGAAAGGGGCCCCAGGCUGAAGGAGUCCUAGCAGUCCUGCGGUCGUGACCCCACGACCCGGGGCUCUGAGCACGGGUGCGACACCCCGGCUUGACCCCAUCGUGGCGUCUCAGUCCCAGGGCUGAUGCGGCCUCUGUGCUGUUCUAAACGGAAACCGUGGCUCGAACUCGGGUCCUUACUCUCUACUUACUAGUUUUUCUUUCUAUUUAGUAUUUAAUGGUCUUCGGGGGAAAAAAUUUUGAACUCAAGACUGUGUCUUCCGAAUAAGUCUGUGGCAUAAGAACUUUUAGGACAACGUGAGGGCCGGGCUCUGGGUGCAGGGGAGCCGUCCCCCGCUGCCCGGCCCCCCAGGAAGGACCCGACGACCGUUACCUCAGCAGGGCCUUGAGCCCCAUGCACCGGAUGUCGUAGGACACGGAGUACAUCUCGUACAUGGUGGCUUUCACGUUGAGGCAGCCGACGACGUCCCUGGGGUUCAGCUUGUACAAGUCCAAGGUGACCCUCGCUAUCCCCGAUCUCCUCGGCGGCUGGCGGGCUGGGACACAGUUCCCACCCUAGGGCCAUGGAGGGAGGGAGGCUUAGGCACCAACCCAACCGUCACCUGCGAACCCUGUGAUUCUGGGUUUAGGCUGGUCUCCACUCUCCUGUCAGCUUAAAAUCAGUUCAUGACUAAGCUGCUAAUUAUCUGAGGAAUGUCUGUCACAGACCAGUGUGCUCAGACUGCCGCAGGGCCAACCCCCUAAGCUGCCCUGUCUCAUGCAGGAGAUGCAGGAGACGUGGCCUUGGGCCUGGGUUUCAGGGUCCAGGGUUUGGUGGACAGUUGUGCCAGUGACCUGUGGUGGAGACGCACUCACCAGGGUCACCCAGGGCCAUCUGGCGGACGUGGACUGGCCCGCAGCUGUGACACUGUCUGCCUGGAGACCGGUGGUCAGCGCUGUCCCGUGGCACAGGGACUCUGCUGGCGGGCGGGUCAGACCCCUCGGCGGGAGCGAAGGCCAGUGUGGGACCUGCCCUGGAGGGACGCCAACUUCCUGGGGACACUUGUGGGACCCACUCUCUGUCUACCCGAGACGUUGGGAGAGGGCAGAAACCCCUGUAAAUCCUGGGUUUAUAAACAAUCUUCCCCACAAAAGCCCUGAAGAAACAGGACAGAGAAAGCUGUCCCAGGACACAUGUGCUGGGCACACGUCCGUGGGGUUUGCCGCACACGCAGGCCUGCGGGGUCCAGGAUUCAAACGGAGGCACAGCUAUCGUGAACCUUAGGAGUUGGGAGUAGCUGAAUGUUAAAUUCACUGGCAAAAAUCUACUAAAUUUGAAGUUAAACCACACAUCCCCCUAAAAGCACCCAAACCCUCCCUGCCAGAGCCCCCCCUCUGUGGACACACGACCAGAGAUCCUAGUUUCAGCCCAUCAACUCCCACACGCGAUGGGGAGGGGGCUGCCUGUCCUUUAGAAAAUGUUAAAAAUUAAGACGACAGAGUUGGGGUGCGGGGGCUCCAUCUGGGAUCCUGCCCAGCUCUCUGACGCUGAGUUUUCAUGUCGCUCCCCCAGCCUCCCCCUCAAGUCUUGGUCUCACGUCAACGUCAAGAUGACCUCCCCAAGGUGGAGACCUAAUGGGGUGUGGAUUCCGUCAUCCCCACCAAACCCCACCCCUGCCCCCCAGGGAUCUGCUCUAGGUGUUUGCGUGGAAGCAGGGAGCCCCCUGGCGGCUGCUUCUCGGAAGUCCUCGUCCAGGUCAAACCACAGUGGCCUCGCUGAGAGGAACCCCUCCCGGGGGGCAGCACCUUCCCUCCCUGCAAGGAGCCCGUCCCCACCCUGAAGGACCGAGCCGGGGGGUAAACGAGCAUCUCAUUCACAAAGCAAACAGAAAAUACCAGCCCCACCAGUUUCCUGGGUCUGCUGAGACACGUGGCCACCAGCUUAGUGCCUUAAAGACGGCGCAGAUUUAUGCUCAGACGGCUCGGUUCUGCAGGUGGGGCACCCUGAGGCACCACGGGCUGUCCUGCUGGGGCUGCCGGCCCUGCUCCUACAUGCCGUGGCCCGUGGCCCGUCCCCUCAUCACUCCUCCUCACCCGCCUCCUGCCCCCACGCUGACCCUCCCAUGUCCCUCUUACAGGACGCUGUGGUGACACUGGCCCAUGGAUAAUCCAGGACCAUCACCCCAUGUCGAGAUCCUUCCCAUAUUGACGUCUGCCGAGUCCCCUUUGCCAUGUAAAGUCGUGCGUCCCCAGGUUCUGGGGGGAGGCCGUGGUCCCUGGGGCUAGAGGGGGGGCCGGCUGGGUGCCGGGAACCCAGCGAGGGAACCUCCACUGACGCUUCCUCCAGGAGAGUCUGUGAGGGCAGAGCUGGAGCCCUGGGGCCCUGGGCCGGGGGAGCCCCCGCCUCAGCGUUCACUUUCCUCUCUGGAUUCUGGUUCCCUUAAAAACCUCGGCCGCUGAGGAUCUCCCUGUUUUGAAGGCCAGUGAGGCAUAUAAAAACAUGUUUUAGGGGAAGAGGGUAAUUGCGCAGGGGUAGAGCACAUGCUUAGCAUGUAUGAGGUCCUGGGUUCAAUCCCCAGUCUCUCCAUUAAAAAAAAAAAAGAUGUUUUAAUAUUUUGCUUUACAUUUUUAGGUGUGUUAUGGUGGGAGUGUUUCCCAAGAUACAUAAUCUAUCGUUUUGUCAGAAA